rnacentral:rRNA from 1 species
CCUACGGGUGGCAGCAGUCGAGAAUCAUGCACAAUGGGGGAAACCCUGAUGGCGCGACGCCGCGUGGGGGAAUGAAGGUCUUCGGAUUGUAAACCCCUGUCAUGUGGGAGCAAAUUAAAAAGAUAGUACCACAAGAGGAAGAGACGGCUAACUCUGUGUCAGCAGCCGCGGUAAUACAGAGGUCUCAAGCGUUGUUCGGAAUCACUGGGCGGAAAGCGGGCGUAGGCUGUUUCGUAAGUCGUGUGUGAAAGGCGCGGGCUCAACCCGCGGACGGCACAUGAUACUGCGAGACUAGAGUAAUGGAGGGGGAACCGGAAUUCUCGGUGUAGCAGUGAAAUGCGUAGAUAUCGAGAGGAACACUCGUGGCGAAGGCGGGUUCCUGGACAUUAACUGACGCUGAGGCACGAAGGCCAGGGGAGCGAAAGGGAUUAGAUACCCGUGUAGUC